GACACGGUGACCUAAUGGUUAGUGCGCUGGAGUCCGGAUCGAGUGGUCUGGGUUCGAGCCCUGGCUGGGGUCA